rnacentral:lncRNA from 1 species
ACUGGUGGAGGUGACCCGUUACCAUGACAACCCAGACUGGUGGAGGUAACCCGUUACCAUGUAGACCCAGACUGGUGGAGGUAACCCGUUACCAUGUAGACCCAGACUGGUGGAGGUGACCCGUUACCAUGACAACCCAGACUGGUGGAGGUAACCCGUUACCAUGACAACCCAGACUGGUGGAGGUGACCCGUUACCAUGACAACCCAGACUGGUGGAGGUAACCCGUUACCAUGUAGACCCAGACUGGUGGAGGUAACCCGUUACCAUGUAGACCCAGACUGGUGGAGGUGACCCGUUACCAUGACAACCCAGACUGGUGGAGGUGACCCGUUACCAUGACAACCCAGACUGGUGGAGGUGACCCGUUACCAUGACAACCCAGACUGGUGGAGGUGACCCGUUACCAUGACAACCCAGACUGGUGGAGGUAACCCGUUACCAUGUAGACCCAGACUGGUGGAGGUGACCCGUUACCAUGACAACCCAGACUGGUGGAGAUGACCCGUUACCAUGACAACCCAGACUGGUGGAGGUGACCUGUUACCAUGACAACCCAGACUGGUGGAGGUGACCCGUUACCAUGUAGACCCAGACUGGUGGAGGUGACCCAUUACCAUGACAACCCAGACUGGUGGAGGUGACCCGUUACCAUGUAGACCCAGACUGGUGGAGGUGACCUGUUACCAUGACAACCCAGACUGGUGGAGGUGACCCGUUACCAUGUAGACCCAGACUGGUGGAGGUGACCCAUUACCAUGACAACCCAGACUGGUGGAGGUGACCCGUUACCAUGACAACCCAGACUGGUGGAGGUGACCCGUUACCAUGUAGACCCAGACUGGUGGAGGGGACC